GGGGGGGCGGGGUGGGGGGCUGGUUGAGCGAGCUUUGCCUUGUCACUUCUGUGUCAAAGAGGCGGGACCGGUCUCUGCGUGUAAUUACUUAGUGACCACUCUUCCUACCUCACCUGAUGGAUCAUCUUAGAAAACGGGAAGUGAAUGGUCAACAACGGUCAAAAGAGGGCUUUGAGUGGUCCUACUCUAGCCGAGCAUUCCCAGUAGGAAACAGCAAUGAGGACCUGGCUUUAAGCGCCCCCAGUUAAGCGGUCACCUUGGUUGAGUCGCUUGGCUUGAGGACCCUGAAUUUUUCUAAACCACCGUGAGACCAGAACAGCAAGUCAGGGAACUCCGGAUAAGAUAAAAGUAAGAUAAUAGGCACUCGGGAAGUCAUAAUUGUGCACUUAUAUACACUUAGCAAAUGCUAGCUGACAAAGUUUGUUCGAUUGAGUAGUCUGCUAUAUCCAGGUCUUUUAGCCUUAAAAGAGUUAAUAUGAUUACUCGUCCAAAAUGUUGCUAUAUAGUAAUUUGAAUUGCGAGACCUAAAAAAUACAAUAGGUUCAGAAUACUCGGACCUUUAUUCUGUUUCUUGAAUAAAAAAUGACUAUGAAAAUCACUUAUGAAAGAUGCCCUGACUUACAUAGAGGAAGUGGUAAUGUUUGCCAACUCCUGUUACAGUAACCCUUGCCUUCCUAUUCACUUCUCUACCCAGUUAAAUACCCUGGCAGGUGCAUCCAACCUGUGCCUGAGACCACAUGGAGCAGAUGAUUGCUAUGAAAGCACCCUACCCCAAAAUUGUACAUAAACUUAACUCAAGACAUUCUGUGACUUUUUAUGAUUAAAAUAGUCAACUGUG
rnacentral:lncRNA from 1 species